rnacentral:lncRNA from 13 species
AUGCCAUUUUUAAUUCCCAGGGAAAGACCUGCUCUCUGCAGGCAUUCCUUUAAACGUUCACGGACUGAUCCCAAGCUGGCAGACAGCAGCGUAGCUUCACAGACUUCAAUGGCACUUAACACUCGUUUACCACGGGUUCACAGGCCAAGACAACAUGCAGCAUAUUUAUAUCGGCUGUAUCAUCGGGAAAAGGACCAACCGUACCAGGCACCUUAUAUGAUUCAUCAGAUUUGCUUCCACAUUAAAAUGCUCUUGUUUUCCAGGGGAGUGAUCCUGCAGCCUUUCCUCAAGCUGCCGGUCCAACCGGGCACUGGAGGCUGCCUGAGCAAGGGCUACGGGAGAAGCCCCAGCCCUCUGUCUCCAGGAUGUCCCUCUGCCCUGUGGUCAGUGGCAGCAGCCUCUUCCUAAGCACGUCACUCUAAAUGCACUUCCCAGGCUCUUUCCAUCAAGGAGGAAUCCUGCUACGAGCUACUUCUGGAGACUGCUCCACUUUUCUCUUGCCCUGCCAAUCCAGCCUGUUGCCAGGCUCACCAGGCUCUGUGCCCUAUCCCACUGCCAGCGAAGGACAACUCAGACCAGUUCCGUCAUCCAGUCUCCAGGGCGCUCGCAGGGUGGUGAGCCUUGGCCAGUGCCUUGCUCAGGAGGAGGUGUUACCGUAGGUAGCAUCUCUUGUGCGUGACGUUGGAAGCAGGUUGGAAAUCUCAGCCACGGACAACUGCAAUACUUUGAUCAGAAAGAAACGAUGCUGCGAUCCAGCUCCGACGCCCCCAGCCCCCCUUCCCCAAGUCAAUUUAUGCAAGCCAUAUUCAUAACGCUGCCUGUGGGAGACAAGUAGUUUGUGUGCUAUCAUGGUGUGUUUUAUAAGGACAACGACGAUGAUGAUGAUGAUUUAUGGAGAAUUUCACGCUGUUGGGAGUUAAUUCCUGCUACGAAGCUAAAAGUCUGCUGCCCAUAUUCUGAAUAGUGGAAAGUCAAUGGUUCAGUGCCUCAGUGCGUGUGGAUUUAGUGUUAAUGACUCAGUCCUGUUAACUAACAAGCCAGCUAUAACUGUUGUUAAAUGCCCAACUUUUGAGGAUUCAUAUUUUUUUAAGCAACAAUAUUUAGUGUUGAAAACUAGCCUUUUAGUUUAGGCAAAAUGUGCUUUUUAGCAGCUAAUACCUUUUUUAAAAAAAAGCAUAUAGAGUGAAUUUAUGAAAAUUCAUGAGGACCAAAGCAAUUUUAAAACAGGAAUCUAUUAAUUUAGUAUUCACAUAGAAUUUUAUAAAGUAUUUAUUAAUAAAUGUUAUUUUAACACAUUCCAUUUGAACAGUAUUCUUGUACAGAAUCUGUUUGGUUUUUUUUUUAAGUUACAAUAUUAGUUUUGCAAUAAACUACUCUAGGUGUGUGUGCAUCUUAAUCUUUCAGGGUCUCAAGCAGAAGUCAUCCAUCUAAGAUGGAAAAGCUUGCUGAGGUCAGUUGUACAGAAAUUCCUAGAAUUAAAUGUUUUCCUUAAAGCAGCAUCUGCUUUUUUUUCCUUCUUUUUUUUUUUUUUUUUGUAACAAUGAAACAAAUUAUAAACCUUCAGUUGUUUGCUAUGUAUUGGAAAAUGUGCUUUCUUGUUUUAGAAAGCAUGAGUCAACGUAUAACUGGAAAGCCUGUCUUUCUUUUUUUUUUCUGCUUUUUUUUCUUUAAGGCUGAUUUUAUACAUCACCACAGAAGAUCUAACCCCAUCCUCAUUUCUUGUCUAAUAUCACAUAGUGAGUUGCACUAUACUGCCUUAUCAUUGCCUCUUCAGUCCUCUUACUAAGCAGUGUUCCUUAGAUUUAGACCAUUGAAGCUCCAUUAUACAUCAGAGAAAAUUACUGGAGGGGGAAGAAGAAAAAAUUGAUCUGUAGACAUAAAACCUAAACUGUGCCUAUAAAACAAAACCAGUUACAACUAAUUAGUAUCUUAUUUCUACAUUUCAAUUAUUUAUAUUCUUUUAAAAUUGCACUUUAGCUCUUGCUCUCUUUCUUGCUCUCCCUUGUUGAAUCAUUUAUAAAUACUCUUGUAAAAGUUUUGCACCAGAUACAUUUAUAUGCUUUCACUGGUGGCAUAUCUACAACUUGUCUCUCACACCUGUCCGAGCGGAGAAGCUGAGACCAGCCAGUCUGCAGUGUGACUUAGACUUUACACCCUCUUCAUGACAGCAUAUAAAUGUUUUAUUAUGCAAUGUGUAUGAUGUGAGGCGGCAUCUAAGCUACAUUUAUAAUCUCUCAUCCCAAGAACCAAAGUGUCCUGUAUAUCGUAAGGUCAGGAGACUGGCUCUGUUGUGCAUUGUGAUGCACUUUGACUGUUGUCCAACUCACAGUAGCUGCAAAGCUGCAGUGAUAACAGUGGCCAUACUAUGUAUUAGAGUUCUGAAUCAAUAAAAUAUGUUGCCUUAUAACUUGACUAGGGACAGCACCUUUAAAAAAAAAAAAAGAAGAGACAAAAAUCUUCUAAAGGCAAACAAAAGCAAUAAAAUCUCAAGCAAUCUGAACACCAAAAAACAAAAAAGGUUCAAUUUUUCAACAUCUGGAAUGAUCAUCUUACUGCAAAGACAAAAGAGACUGUUUACAUCCAUAACCCCUUUUUGUUUUUUUUUUUUCCCAGAGCUUACAGCUAUCUCAGUUUUAUCAGUGGCUUUACACUUAAGAGCUAAAUUGCUCACCAUUAUUGGUUUUCCAUAGCUUUCAAAACAAGUCCUAAACUGCACAAGGCCAAAAAUGUCAGUGUUCACACACACUCAGAGAUAAGAUUGAUUCUCCAAGUGGAAAUCUGAUCCUUUCCCAGGCUCUCCUUGGACUGGAAUCAAUAACUGCAACUCGUUAUAUUUAGAUGAAUGUGUAAUACCUGGGAUUCAGGAUCUCCAGUUCUACAUUUAUGCAAGUUAAAUGUUAGUAUUGCUGUUUGACCUGGUGGAACUGUUCACAAAGCCCAUGGUCAGAGCCUGCCAUCUGAUGCCAUGAGGGUCUAAGACCCAAGUAUCUUUCUUGACUAAAAAUCGGUGUGACAGCCUUCUGAAUGAAGACUGAAAGCUCCUUCUGGCUUUGCAGAAACUGCAGCAGUGUCCUGGAGCAAGGGAGAUGGGAGGAUUGAUUAGGCAUUUCAAGGGAAAUGUCUUCCUUUCUGGAAUCUAGGAAAUGUCAGAGAAAUAUUUUCCCCACCCCACAGAGCUGAGAUUGCAAGGAGUUCCCUGACAGACAUCACCUUUAGCAUGCUUCCACAAGACAAACUACUUUGCACGAAAGGUAUAUUCGCUCUUCUGAGUAAGAACAAUUGCCACUGAGAGUUUUGCCAAGGACUUUAUCAUAGGGACCCAAGUGUUUCCCAGCCCAUGGCCGUGAGCUCUGUAUCCCUCUCUCUGUAGCAGCUCUCUUCAAACACUGGGUAGCACUCAUCAGUGAACAUUGCUUCUUUGGACUAUUGCCAUUCUCCUGGUUUUAAGGAACUUUUAGCACUGCUUGGAGUAAGCCUAAACUAUCGAAGUUUAUAUAUAAAUAUAUAUAUAUAUAUAUUAUAUUAAAAAAAGGUGCUGUCACAGUAAGUUUUGGGCUUGAAUAUAUAUAUAUAUAUAUCAAAGGAAAAAAAUUUGUAUGUCUGUUUGUUUUAUUAUGUAAAGCAACCACCUUCCUUACUGGAGGGAGAUACUUUUUUUUUGGUACAUAAAUGUAAAUACUUGCUGCAGCAUUUAAUAUGUUUAAUUUUAUGUUAAGCUUUUUGUUGCAUUGUGAACCCAUUAUUGUUACAAAUGGACAAUGAGUUCAUUGAGACUGUUCAACUAGGUCAGAUUUUUACAUCUCUUUCUAGCUAGAAGAGAAAGGAAUUUUGUGCAUUUGUACAAAUGUUAAUAAUAUCACUGCAAUUCCAAUAUAAUAAAGCACUCAAAUACAAAUAAAUCCAGUAGUUUGUCUGUACCUAU